rnacentral:rRNA from 1 species
GUGGGGAAUCUUAGACAAUGGGGGAAACCCUGAUCUAGCCAUGCCGCGUGAUCGAUGAAGGCCUUAGGGUUGUAAAGAUCUUUCGCUGGGGAAGAUAAUGACUGUACCCAGUAAAGAAGCCCCGGCUAACUCCGUGCCAGCAGCCGCGGUAAUACGGAGGGGGCUAGCGUUAUUCGGAAUUACUGGGCGUAAAGCGCACGUAGGCGGACCAGAAAGUUGGGGGUGAAAUCCCGGGGCUCAACCUCGGAACUGCCUUCAAAACUCCUGGUCUUGAGUUCGAGAGAGGUGAGUGGAAUUCCGAGUGUAGAGGUGAAAUUCGUAGAUAUUCGGAGGAACACCAGUGGCGAAGGCGGCUCACUGGCUCGAUACUGACGCUGAGGUGCGAAAGCGUGGGGAGCAAACAGGAUUAGAAACCCGUGUAGUCC